GUGGGGAAUCUUGCGCAAUGGGCGAAAGCCUGACGCAGCCAUGCCGCGUGAAUGAUGAAGGUCUUAGGAUUGUAAAAUUCUUUCACCGGGGACGAUAAUGACGGUACCCGGAGAAGAAGCUCCGGCUAACUUCGUGCCAGCAGCCGCGGUAAUACGAAGGGGGCUAGCGUUGCUCGGAAUUACUGGGCGUAAAGGGCGCGUAGGCGGACAGCUUAGUCAGAGGUGAAAGCCCAGGGCUCAACCUUGGAAUUGCCUUUGAUACUGGCUGUCUUGAGUUUGGGAGAGGUGAGUGGAAAUCCGAGUGUAGAGGUGAAAUUCGUAGAUAUUCGGAAGAACACCAGUGGCGAAGGCGACUCACUGGCCCAAUACUGACGCUGAGGCGCGAAAGCGUGGGGAGCAAACAGGAUUAGAUACCCGAGUAGUCC
rnacentral:rRNA from 1 species